UCAAGCUUGGUCAUUUAGAGGAAGUAAAAGUCGUAACAAGGUUUCCGUAGGUGAACCUGCGGAAGGAUCAUUACUGUGGGCCUUCGUCAGAAGCCCGCGAGAUAGCACCCUUGCCUUGUAUGUACCUUGCUUGUUUCCUCGGCGGGCUUGCCUGCCAAUGGGGAUCUUAAUCAACCUAUGCAGUAGUAAUUACAGUCUGAUAAUUAUCAAUAGUUACAACUUUCAACAAUGGAUCUCUUGGUUCUGGCAUCGAUGAAGAACGCAGC
rnacentral:misc_RNA from 1 species